rnacentral:rRNA from 1 species
AUUGAACGCUGGCGGCAGGCCUAACACAUGCAAGUCGAGCGGAUGACGGGAGCUUGCUCCUUGAUUCAGCGGCGGACGGGUGAGUAAUGCCUAGGAAUCUGCCUGGUAGUGGGGGACAACGUUUCGAAAGGAACGCUAAUACCGCAUACGUCCUACGGGAGAAAGCAGGGGACCUUCGGGCCUUGCGCUAUCAGAUGAGCCUAGGUCGGAUUAGCUAGUUGGUGGGGUAAUGGCUCACCAAGGCGACGAUCCGUAACUGGUCUGAGAGGAUGAUCAGUCACACUGGAACUGUGACACGGUCCAGACUCCUACGGGAGGCAGCAGUGGGGAAUAUUGGACAAUGGGCGAAAGCCUGAUCCAGCCAUGCCGCGUGUGUGAAGAAGGUCUUCGGAUUGUAAAGCACUUUAAGUUGGGAGGAAGGGCAGUAAGCUAAUACCUUGCUGUUUUGACGUUACCGACAGAAUAAGCACCGGCUAACUCUGUGCCAGCCGCCGCGGUAAAAC